rnacentral:rRNA from 1 species
GAUCCUGGCUCAGGACGAACGCUGGCGGCGUGCCUAACACAUGCAAGUCGAACGGAGUAUUUUAGCGGAAGUUUUCGGAUGGAAGCUGAUUUACUUAGUGGCGGACGGGUGAGUAACACGUGAGUAACCUGCCUCUCAGAGGGGGAUAACGUCUUGAAAAGGACGCUAAUACCGCAUGACAUCUUGUGACCGCAUGGUUGUGAGAUCAAAGGAGCAAUCCGCUGAGAGAUGGACUCGCG